AUUGAACGCUGGCGGCAUGCCUAACACAUGCAAGUCGAGCGGGUGAUGCGGGCUUGCUCCCGGAUUCAGCCGCGGCCGGUUGGGUCAUGCCUAGGAAUCUGCCUGGUCGUGGGGGAUAACGUCCUAAUACGGGCUCUUAUACCGCAUACGUCCUGUGGUCGAAUGUGGGGGAUCUUGCGACGUCUCGCCAUCUUAUGAGCCUAGAUUGCAUUAGCUAGGUUGUGGGGUAAAUGCCUACCCAGGCUACGAUGCGUAACUGGUAUGAGAGGAAGAUCAGUCACACUGGAACUGAGACUCGUCCCCGACUCCUACGGUAAGAAGCAGCGGGGAAUAUUGGGCGAGGGGCGAGAGCGUAAUAUAGCAAUGCCGCGUGUAGGAAGAAGGUCUACUGACUGGUAAGCACUUUAAGUUGGGAGGAAGGACAGUAAGUUAAUACCUUGCUAUUUUGACGUUACCGGCAGAAUAAGCACCGGCUAACUCCGUG
rnacentral:rRNA from 1 species